rnacentral:rRNA from 1 species
UUUUUAUGAGAGUUUGAUCCUGGCUCAGGACGAACGCUGGCGGCGUGCCUAAUACAUGCAAGUCGAACGCUUCUUUUUCCACCGGAGCUUGCUCCACCGGAAAAAGAGGAGUGGCGAACGGGUGAGUAACACGUGGGUAACCUGCCCAUCAGAAGGGGAUAACACUUGGAAACAGGUGCUAAUACCGUAUAACAAUCGAAACCGCAUGGUUUUGAUUUGAAAGGCGCUUUCGGGUGUCGCUGAUGGAUGGACCCGCGGUGCAUUAGCUAGUUGGUGAGGUAAUGGCUCACCAAGGCAACGAUGCAUAGCCGACCUGAGAGGGUGAUCGGCCACAUUGGGACUGAGACACGGCCCAAACUCCUACGGGAGGCAGCAGUAGGGAAUCUUCGGCAAUGGACGAAAGUCUGACCGAGCAACGCCGCGUGAGUGAAGAAGGUUUUCGGAUCGUAAAACUCUGUUGUUAGAGAAGAACAAGGAUGAGAGUAACUGUUCAUCCCUUGACGGUAUCUAACCAGAAAGCCACGGCUAACUACGUGCCAGCAGCCGCGGUAAUACGUAGGUGGCAAGCGUUGUCCGGAUUUAUUGGGCGUAAAGCGAGCGCAGGCGGUUUCUUAAGUCUGAUGUGAAAGCCCCCGGCUCAACCGGGGAGGGUCAUUGGAAACUGGGAGACUUGAGUGCAGAAGAGGAGAGUGGAAUUCCAUGUGUAGCGGUGAAAUGCGUAGAUAUAUGGAGGAACACCAGUGGCGAAGGCGGCUCUCUGGUCUGUAACUGACGCUGAGGCUCGAAAGCGUGGGGAGCAAACAGGAUUAGAUACCCUGGUAGUCCACGCCGUAAACGAUGAGUGCUAAGUGUUGGAGGGUUUCCGCCCUUCAGUGCUGCAGCUAACGCAUUAAGCACUCCGCCUGGGGAGUACGACCGCAAGGUUGAAACUCAAAGGAAUUGACGGGGGCCCGCACAAGCGGUGGAGCAUGUGGUUUAAUUCGAAGCAACGCGAAGAACCUUACCAGGUCUUGACAUCCUUUGACCACUCUAGAGAUAGAGCUUCCCCUUCGGGGGCAAAGUGACAGGUGGUGCAUGGUUGUCGUCAGCUCGUGUCGUGAGAUGUUGGGUUAAGUCCCGCAACGAGCGCAACCCUUAUUGUUAGUUGCCAUCAUUUAGUUGGGCACUCUAGCAAGACUGCCGGUGACAAACCGGAGGAAGGUGGGGAUGACGUCAAAUCAUCAUGCCCCUUAUGACCUGGGCUACACACGUGCUACAAUGGGAAGUACAACGAGUCGCAAAGUCGCGAGGCUAAGCUAAUCUCUUAAAGCUUCUCUCAGUUCGGAUUGUAGGCUGCAACUCGCCUACAUGAAGCCGGAAUCGCUAGUAAUCGCGGAUCAGCACGCCGCGGUGAAUACGUUCCCGGGCCUUGUACACACCGCCCGUCACACCACGAGAGUUUGUAACACCCGAAGUCGGUGAGGUAACCUUUUGGAGCCAGCCGCCUAAGGUGGGAUAGAUGAUUGGGGUGAAGUCGUAACAAGGUAGCCGUAUCGGAAGGUGCGGCUGGAUCACCUCCUUUCUAAGGAA